GGCAAGGUGGCCGAGCGGUCCAAGGCGCCACGUUAAGGUAUUCAAACCCUUAAUUAAUCCAGAAAUCCGUGGUCUCGAAAGGGGCGUGAGUUCGAAUCUCACCCUUGUCA